rnacentral:rRNA from 1 species
UACGUAGGGUGCAAGCGUUGUCCGGAAUUAUUGGGCGUAAAGAGCUCGUAGGCGGUGUGUCGCGUCGGCCGUGAAAACCUGGGGCUUAACUCUGGGCGUGCGGUCGAUACGGGCAUCACUAGAGUUCGGCAGGGGAGACUGGAAUUCCUGGUGUAGCGGUGAAAUGCGCAGAUAUCAGGAGGAACACCGGUGGCGAAGGCGGGUCUCUGGGCCGAUACUGACGCUGAGGAGCGAAAGCAUGGGUAGCGAACAGG